rnacentral:misc_RNA from 1 species
GCGCAGGACUCGGCUUCUUCGGAAGGGACGAGGGGCGC